GGGGGGACCAUCCUCCAAGGCUAAAUACUCCUGACUGACCGAUAGUGAACCAGUACCGUGAGGGAAAGGCGAAAAGAACCCCGGCGAGGGGAGUGAAAAAGAACCUGAAACCGUGUACGUACAAGCAGUGGGAGCCCCACCACCAAAGCAUUCUCUGGUGUUGAAGGCCCUGCAAAGCAGCAUCGCGGUGGCGGAGCGUCGUUUGCGACGCCCAACACACAAAACAAGCGGUGAGUGCUUUGGGGUGGGGUGACUGCGUACCUUUUGUAUAAUGGGUCAGCGACUUAUAUUCUGUAGCAAGGUUAACCGAAUAGGGGAGCCGGAGGGAAACCGAGUCUUAAUUGGGCGUUAAGUUGCAGGGUAUAGACCCGAAACCCGGUGAUCUAGCCAUGGGCAGGUUGAAGGUUGGGUAACACUAACUGGAGGACCGAACCGACUAAUGUUGAAAAAUUAGCGGAUGACCUGUGGCUGGGGGUGAAAGGCCAAUCAAACCGGGAGAUAGCUGGUUCUCCCCGAAAGCUAUUUAGGUAGCGCCUCGUGAAUUCAUCUCCGGGGGUAGAGCACUGUUUCGGCUAGGGGGCCAUCCCGGCUUACCAACCCGAUGCAAACUGCGAAUACCGGAGAAUGUUAUCACGGGAGACACACGGCGGGUGCUAACGUCCGUCGUGAAGAGGGAAACAACCCAGACCGCCAGCUAAGGUCCCAAAGUCAUGGUUAAGUGGGAAACGAUGUGGGAAGGCCCAGACAGCCAGGAUGUUGGCUUAGAAGCAGCCAUCAUUUAAAGAAAGCGUAAUAGCUCACUGGUCGAGUCGGCCUGCGCGGAAGAUGUAACGGGGCUAAACCAUGCACCGAAGCUGCGGCAGCGACACUGUGUGUUGUUGGGUAGGGGAGCGUUCU
rnacentral:rRNA from 1 species